UCCUCGCCUCCACCCUCUUGCGGGAAUAAAAAACACCGGCUAAGCAGAACGACGGUGCCCGAGGUGGAAGCCGAGGAUAAUAAAUCGCUCGACGAUGCGGAGGCAGGCGAUGCUGACAGAUGGAGGGGGCGAAAGAGGGAUAUAGGUGGAAAACAGGAGAAAAAGGAGGUUGAAGCGUGACAGAGAACCAUCGAGUGAGAAGGUAGGAACGAUUCGAAGGAGGAAUGAAGACGGAGUAGCCGGAGAAGGAUGGAACGAAAAGAAAAAGAAGGUAUAUACGAAGGGAGCGGGUGUAAGUCGAAACAGCAAGAAAAAGAAAAAAAAAAGGAAAAAUCAUGUUGUCGAGAGAAAGAGGGAGGAAGAAGGAGAGAAGAAAAAAGAUAUAAGGUUGGAAGUACCUGUAUCCUGUUUGUUACAAGGCUCCCAGAGGCACCGGGACUCCGGAGGCAAGGAAGGAGAGGCAGGUUUAGGCAGCUUUCACACUAAAGCCCGAAUUUACGACAAAGGAGGCCCAUUAACCCCGUGGCAUCUCGCCUCGAAAUUGACUUUGCUCCCUACCUGAGCUCCGCGACGACGCGUGUUCCCGUCUCGAUGGGGAAGGAUAAAGAGAAGAAGGUAAGAGGGAUGGCUGGUGAAAGAGGAGGAUGCAAGAUGGCUCGGGGAAUCGUCGACAAGCACGAUGUAGCGUAAAACGAGACGAUUAGCGACGUCCAGUGAAAGUGACUGGAAUCUUCGAUUUCAAAAUGAGAAGAAAACGAUGCUGACGACGAUGAAGAGGAAAGAGGCGGCGGGAAGCUUAAUCCUCGCCGAUGGUCCUUCGAUUUCAACGAACACGCCAGACAAAUCGAUGUCUUCCACUUUCGACGAACAAAUAAAAGUAUAUUAUUUCGUUCGUGAAGAAUCCGAUGCUUAAUUUUCCGCAAAAACACCAAGUCAGCCGAUGGAUUGUGGUAAAAAGUCUCGACGGUACAACGACCUCGGAAUUGUCGAUUUAUAUGAUUCGCAGGGAAAACAGAAGGGAAAGUUUUUCGCGAUGCGAACGAAUGAUGGAAUAAGAAAAGGAGAGAAAAAAAGAGAGAGAAUCCACAGAGGGAUAUAAUCGGAAUGAAGCAAAAGGAUUACAGAUAAAAGACGCCAGUGUUAGCAAUAAAGAAGCAGCUGUAUAAUCCUGCACGGACCGAAGCAGCAGAGAAGGGUCCUUCCCGACGCGAUGCUCUGCCCACAAGGAACUUCCAUCGCCCCCUUAUAUACAUACGAUGAAGCGGGUGGACCGGGAAAGGAAAGAAGAGAAAGGAAAAAAGGAAUCGAACGAAG